GUGCUACAUUGGAAAUAAAUUCCAAGAAAUGUUCCGCUGACCUGUCGCACAUGUUCACUUUGUGAAGAACGAACGCAAAAUGGAUUUGUGUGUCGUGUAUGGGCGAAGCGAAUUCACACAGAUCGAACGCACAUGUGUGUCGUGUAUGGCCUCUUUUACGCAAUACUAUUUCGCCAUACUCAAUGUCAAUUCUGGCAAGAUAUUUGAGUCGGUAUCUUGAGCUUCGGUUUUUUAAGUGUAUACCCAUACGUUUAAGUAAUAUAUGCAGCUUCGCAGAUUAUAAUAACUAAAUAAAUACAAAUAAAUUGCCUUGCAAACAUUUAUAUUUGGCUGUGAAUAAGUAUAUUCUGGACCCCACUAUUUAGCAUUUUUUUGUAUUGAAACGUAACAAGAUUUGGGCCCGACACGCGGCAGUCGUUAGCGAGCAAGUAAACGUAUCGAGUGAAAUUUCAUAACCCGUGCGACAAUCCAAACGUCUAGAAAUUUUAUGAAAUAACUUCCCUGGUGUAGCUCUAAAUGAAAUUUUCGAAUACACUGAAAUACGAAACAAAACAAAUUAUGAAAGUAUUUGAAUGGAAUUGAACCAACUUUCAUCGGUGGACCGGCAUCGUUUUAGCGUCAAUGCAUCCCAUAGCUUAUUUGAUGCAUCUUUGUCUUGCCCACAAUUAGGCAAAAUAUUAUUUGCUAAAUUCUGAUACCGUAGCAUAAAAUUACUCAUAAAAUUUUUUUGACGCAUAUUUAUUUUGUUUACAUUUGUCCUUAAAUCAUUAGUUGUAAUUAUAAUACAUGUUAAAUCAAUAAAAGAAAAUAACUUACAUUUUA